GGGGGUUUUGUUUCAAUGUGUGUGUGUGUGUGUGUGUGUGUGAGAGAGAGAGAGAGAGAGAGAGAGAGAGAGAGAGAGAGAGAGAGAGAGAGAGAGAGAGAGAGAGAGAGAGAGCAGCCGUGGAGAAGAAGAAGAAGAAAGAAGGAGAGAAAGGAGAAAUUAGGGUUGGUUGAAUUGAAGCUUAAUUAGGUAGCAGGUUGCAUUGAGUGGGUCCACUACCAGUCAUCGUAUUAAGAAUUGUUUGGGCCAGUGUUGGAUGAUAUGGAUGAGCGAGUUGGUUGUAGGUAGGGAACUAAAAAGUUGAUUUAUAUAAGUUAUAAAUUAGUCGUCGGUGGAUGUGUUGAAGUAUAGAUUUUUUUUUUAAAGUAUUUGUAAAACUAUAUUGUUGUUUGGUUGUGUGAGGUCGUGGUUGGUUGGUCGAUACAUCGACUCAUUUUUAUGUUAAGGUGAUAAGUUUUUCGCUAGGUGUUUAUUCUGACAGGAUGUGAGGUGUGGUUUGGUUUUAUGUGUGGAAUGCCACGUGGUCGCGCCAACUCUGGCCCACUUUGGGUGCCGUUUGCGGGGCGGGGCGUUACACCAUCUCUCUUUGUAUAAGUGAAUUGC